rnacentral:rRNA from 1 species
UACGUAGGGUGCGAGCGUUAAUCGGAAUUACUGGGCGUAAAGCGUGCGCAGGCGGUUUUGUAAGACCGAUGUGAAAUCCCCGGGCUCAACCUGGGAACUGCAUUUGUGACUGCAUCGCUGGAGUACGGCAGAGGGGGAUGGAAUUCCGCGUGUAGCAGUGAAAUGCGUAGAUAUGCGGAGGAACACCGAUGGCGAAGGCAAUCCCCUGGGCCUGUACUGACGAUCAGGUGCGAAAGCGUGGGGAGCAAACAGG